UUUUUUAUAUUUUAUUUAUCUUACGCUCUUGGAUUUUAACACCGAUGCAGUAAUACCGAAUCCGAAGUUUGACUUUCAUUCUCCGGUCAAACAAACGCCGACCUUUUCUGACGUAUCUUCACGUCUCUUUACUCUUCUACCCGUCAUCCCUUCUAUGCCACCGGCUACUUGAAAGGGGUAUUUUCGUCAAUUCGUCAGUACGGAACCCCGUUCUCCCACCCUCCAUUCAUUCAACAACCACUGCCGCCUGAUAAAUUCGCCAACGUCUCACCGGACCUUCACUGCCACCCCCACGUGUCACCAUCUCAUUGGAUUCUCUACCCUCUAAAUAACCUACACCUCCCCUACCUUCAUACCCUCUCACUCAAAGAUAGGGUUCCUCUCUCUCUCUCUCUCUCUCUCUCUCUCUGGAAAUUUACGUUCACAUAGCAUGCAGAUCUAUAAUCAACCGGUUUUAUAUUUAUAGAUCCGACUGAUAUAAAGCUACAGAUUUUGUAUAGAUGAUGGGCAGGGCGAUUUUGUUUCGUUACGGCGGUUUUCUGAUUCGCUUGGUGCAGGUCGGGAACGGUAUCGCCGGCGGGAUCGUUUUUCGCCGUUGUACCUCACGGAUGACUCGUAAAUGUUGUGAGGGAGAAUCAUUUCGGUGAACGCCGGUCCCGCCUUGCAUCAACUGAAUCGGAAACCGUCGUGAAUGUUUGAUAGCAACUGCGGUUUUUGUCGGAAACAUAUUGGUGGACUCUGGACUUCUUUGAUUUGGAUUCGGAAAAGUCACAAAAGAUCGAUCUCCAUCGGUAAUUUGGAUCUGCAGUUUCAAUUCGAUUUGAAAUUGAUGAAAAUCAUUGCAUUCUUCUAUAAAAUUUGAUUUGGUGGUAUGCUAAUUUUUAGUAGAUAUUCAUUGAAUUGGAUUUCACUAGGAACGAAAAGCUGUAUUGUCGUUAAUUGAGUAGAUCAAUCAAGUUUCUAUGCUAUCGUUUAGCUGUUAAAUGAUUUGCUCUUUUGGUUCCAAGUAAAGACCUGCACUUUUAACUUUGGAUGCCCUAUUGGAUUAUUGGAAGUUCAAAGUUCAUAUGAAUUGCAAACAAUUGGGGAAGAACAUGUUAACCAGGUUAAAAUCGAAGUUACCUAAAUCUCUCUGUUAUUAUAAAGGCUAGAUAUCAUAAGUUUAAGAUCCAGCUAGAUUAAACAAGAAAAAAACAAAUCUUGAUUGGUUCUCCAUUUCGCUUAGUGAGCCAUUGUGUUCACAUUUGGUUAGACAUAGCUUUGGUUUUUUCUUAAUUUUGCAUAAAAAUCUUGAUUUUUUUAACUAUUUUGCAUCUCUGUGAGUACAUGUAAUACUUUUUUUGUUCAAUAUGAAGAAUCUUGUUAUCGUUUUCUGUUUUUUAGUAUAUUCAAAUAAUGUAAGUCUUAUAGAUCUAUUGUUUGAGUCAUGUCAUGUAUAUUGUAUUGCUAAAUUCAUUAUUGGGUUGUUUUUUAUGACCUUCUGUAUAUUUUAGCAGCUUGUGACAUUAUAUGCUAUUCUCAGAAAGAACUUUCAGCUGUGUUUGUGUAGCAUAGAUCUGUGUGACUGUGUCCCUGAGUUCUAUAAACUAAAACAGCCUCUUGGAUGCAUUUUUUGUGCAACCUCAAAUCCUCAGAUGUUGAAGAUCUGAUCGUAUUCAAGCACAAUUGAAGGUUGAAUUAAAAGAACCAAAACCGAAUUUUUGUUGUCAACUGUUGAAUCGUGUUGAUUAUUGACGAAGAUCGAUGAUUGAUUAGCACUGGAUGAUGUUGAUGAUGGUUUAAUUGAAGAAAUCUGAAUGAUUGUUGAAAGUUGGAGAAGAAAUUUGGAUGAUGAACGAUGAAUGGGUUUGAACUACAGAUACGUAUUUGAGAUUGAAGAUUGUUCUCAUAUUUACAAGUUUGUCAUCGUGUCUUUUUAUGCUUGAAUAAAAUGAGUGGCUGAGAAUGAUUCCCCCAUUCUCAACCUUUUUU